rnacentral:rRNA from 1 species
AUUGAACGCUGGCGGCAGGCCUAACACAUGCAAGUCGAGCGACCGGCGGACGGGUGAGUAAUGGCUGGGAAACUGCCUGAUGGAGGGGGCUAACUACUGGAAACGGUAGCUAAUACCGCAUACCAUCAGAUGUGCCCAGAGGGGAUUAGCUAGUGGGUGGGGUAACGGCCAACCUAGGCGACGAUCCCUAGCCGGUCUGAGAGGAUGACCAGACAAAUGUGAACUGAGACACGGUCCAGACUCCUACGGGAGGCAGCAGUGGGGAAUAUUGCACAAUGGGCGCAAGCCUGAUGCAGCCAUGCCGCGUGUGUGAAGAAGGCCUUCGGGUUGUAAAGCACUUUCAGCGGGGAGGCGUUACCCGCAGAAGAAGCACCGGCUAACUCCGUGCCAGCCGCCGCGGUAAUUC